GCAGCACAACGGCUUCCUGACGUGCUGUUUGAACCAUGUUAUCGGAGCA
rnacentral:ncRNA from 1 species